GAGCAUGUCUCACUUCUUUGUACUCUCUUUUCUUCAGUUUCGUUUGAAGUUGAGAAAGUGUGCGCCAACUCAAUAGCCAUAGAUAUAGCUAAAAGUGUGAUGAAAGAUGGGUGUUUCCAGUCCUAUCUUGCUCUAGGAGGGCCAGCUUGGCUUCAUCUCCGUAUUGCAAGAGAAGCUUCAAGACAAGACUAAUUCAUCUUUCCUUUGUGAUUUUUGUCUUUGUCCUUUGUUGUUUUGCUUUGCCAUUGUGGAGAGGAUCCUUUCCUAUCCUUCUUUCUUUUCAAAACUCUUGUUAUCAAACAUUAAAAAAAAAUUCAAAGCAAAAACCAAUAAAUUCCAACUUUCCAACUUUAUCUUCCAUGUUAGAGAUAUGUGCACCAGUACGAAUGUAAGCAUAUCUUGAUUUUCUGCUUUAGUGUAUUUUUUAUUUGAAGUAUAUAUUCAAAAAGCUCUAGUAAUUUGAUAUUAUGAAUCUGGUUUGAUUACUUAUUUUCAUGGCUGGCUUAUUUUUUUUUAUAAUCUGUAACGCUCCGACUUCCCACGGCUAAUGGGCCAUCCAUGCCAGCUCUCUCGGCCUGUGGAUCCCAUCCCAUCAGACGGGCGGUGCGUUAAUUUUUUCGAAGGCUCGAAAUCAUAAUUUACUAACCAAUCACUACAUGACUUUUCCCCUUGUUUUGGUCUCACUCGCACGAUAUAGCGAAUAAGUCCCGCAGGUUACCCAUCUUUCUACUACUCUAGCUCAAGCACGAUUAAUUCUGGAGUUUUAAAUGAAUGGUUGACUGAAAAGAUAAAUGGACUUUGGUAACAUAGGUAGCCAAAUAAAUUAUCUUAAGCCUUUCCACAUAUACCAGAAAUCGGGAUGUUACAAUUCACCCCCACUCACAGAGCGCAACGCCUCCGUUGCGCACCACGACAGGUCUCAAGACGCCUCUCGGGCCAGAACCAAGAUGGCUAACCAGUUCUGAUACCAUUUGUAACGUUCGACCUCCCACGGCUAACGGGCCACCCACGCCCGCUCUGUCGGCAUGUGGGUCUUAUCCUAUCUAACGGAUGGUGCGUUGAUUUUUACAAAGGCUCAAAUUCAUUGCUAACUCUGCAAUCACCACACCCUACAAAAAAAUAUAAGUAUUGGUAGCAGUUCGCGAUAGCACGAAUUCAUCAACUGCUACCAAAAGUACAAAAAUCGGAUCACAACUCUAUCGUAGCAUUAAAUUCGCGCUAAAAUAGAAUUUCAUUAAAUAGGAAUACAAAAUUCGGAGAUUUAAUUUAGGGUAACACUUUGCCAAACACUCAGAAAAAAAAAAUACUCAUUCAUUUUUUUCUCUCUUUUUCCGACUUCCCUUUCUUUUUCUCUAGAGAUGAUUUUUUAUUUUAUUUUUUUUCUUAUUUCAAUCAAUCUAUCUUCUUCCUUCGUCUUCUUCAAUUAUAAACAUCAGAACAUUCUUUGUUGGAAAAGAUGAGUGAAUCGGGUUCUUCUCGAUCGAUUCAACUCCAAUCGAGUUCAAAAUCAAAACUUAAGAAUCCUAAUCCGUCCUUUGUAACUUUGCGCACACUUGGCUUGAAGAGAUAAGGUUGAAGAGGAUGGUGGUUACUGAAGAAUGCUUAGAACACUUCCCUCCACUCUCCACCGGUAUCCGCCUUACCGGAAAAUCGAACCCGCUGCUCCGAAGCAUCUCCACCGUCGGGUUGAUAUUGUCAUGGCUGCGACUGUGGAUUCGGAUUACUCGUCGAGAAGGAGCAGUAGCAACGAGCAGAGGGAAUCAAUUAUGCUUCCUGGAUGCGACUCAACACCCUUGCUUACUCUUACCUCAACACUCUUGCUACUGUUCUGCAAGUUUUGUUUUUACACAGAACAUUAAUACAGAAAACACAGAACAGAGCAUGGAGAAGUAAUGAAGAACUUGAGGAUCUUGUUAAUGACUCGAGGAGUCAUAGCAAGAGUAAAAGGGUGACCUUGAAGCAGAACCACAAGUUCCUUAUAAAGGUUAAGGAGCACCAAGAAGGCAAAGGAUGCUAAGAAGCUUGGGCUUAACCGUAACCAUGUGUAAUCUCUGUCUCAGAUUGAGAUUGUAGUCAGCUUGACCCUUGUCUCAAGCGUAAACCUUUCUCUGGAUUCAUAGAUUGUUGAACCAUGGAGAUAAUUGUUGAACCAUGGAGAUGAUCGGUGAUGGAUAUAAGGAGUUCUUUCUUGAUGCCCCAGACUCGGUGAAGGUAUAUCCAUUGAUAACGAGAUGAUUUGUCUUAUGUUCAGGGAUGCUGGUGUCUCAGCCAUUGCCUCCCACCUUACCCGUUCCAUGGCAGUUAGUACUUCGUUUGGUGGGGUCUUCAAGAUUUGGUUUUGCAACAGUGAGAAGAGCCAGACGGUUAAAGACUCUAGCUGGAUGUGUCAUGCAGUUGGUUCUUAUAAGUAAUAGCUUUCAUAAGCAUUAGGAAUCUUAAACAUUCACAGCUGAUUCACGGAUGAGAGUAAUGUAUUACAAGUUGGGGGAGGUUUAUGUAUAUUUUGGUGCACUCUACAGCACUUUGAAAUGGUUUAGUUUAUUAAUUA